UACGUAGGGCGCAAGCGUUAUCCGGAAUUAUUGGGCGUAAAGAGCUCGUAGGCGGCUUGUCGCGUCGACUGUGAAAUCCCGCGGCUCAACUGCGGGUCUGCAGUCGAUACGGGCAGGCUAGAGUUCGGUAGGGGAGACUGGAAUUCCUGGUGUAGCGGUGAAAUGCGCAGAUAUCAGGAGGAACACCGAUGGCGAAGGCAGGUCUCUGGGCCGAUACUGACGCUGAGGAGCGAAAGCGUGGGGAGCGAACAGG
rnacentral:rRNA from 1 species